UGGAUUCGAACCAACGACCCCCACCAUGUCAAGGUGGUGCUCUAACCAACUGAGCUACGUGCCUGCUGAUGGCGCGC
rnacentral:tRNA from 1 species